rnacentral:rRNA from 1 species
CAGCCGUAAACAAUGUGCGUUAGGUGUGUCGGUAACCACGCGUUACUGAUGCGCCGAAGAGAAAUCGUGAAACGCACCACCUGGGAAGUACGGUCGCAAGGCUGAAACUUAAAGGAAUUGGCGGGGGAGCACCACAACAGGUGGAGCCUGCGGUUUAAUUGGAUUCAACGCCGGACAUCCCACCGGAUAAGACAGCUGAAUGAUUGUCAAUCUGAAGGUUUUACAUGACUAGCUGAGAGGAGGUGCAUGGC